UGUGGGGUGGGUAGGAGAUUCUCUGGGGAUUCCUUUUUAUCUGCCUAGGCAUCUGGCUGCCUCAGUUCUAGACUACGGCUUCUUAUGCCAGGCUCGGGGUCUUCAAAGUAGAAUACCCCUAUUCCAGGAAAUAUGCAAGACAACCCAAUAGGACAUGAAAAUAAAUCAUUACAACUUGAACUGCCUUUGAAGCUCAGACCCACCGGUCUACUACUACUACUCUUCAUGCCUCUUCACUGGAGGAAAUAUAGGAGUCAUCCAGCAUCCAGGAAGGAAACUCAGAGGGUGGGGGUUUCAGGACAACUUGCUGGUGGAGCGUGAGCAGAAGGGGUUAGACGGUUCUGCCCUUCUGGAGCAGGUGUCUGACCGCAGCAAUUCUGGAGCAUCUGAGUCUGUCCUGAAGCUACCUCUUUGAGGUGACAGAUGACUCAGCCAGGGGCCAGAUGGAACAGGGAUUUUAUAAGCCUGGCUUUAUUUUUUUGUUUCUUUUCUUUUCUUUUCCGUUGUUUUUUUUUUUUUUUGCCUUGCCUUCACCUCUUUGUUUCCUCACCAAAGUCAGCAGCAUGAUGUCACUGAGCACAGGUUGGGAGAGUGGAGUCAAGGUUAAGGUAUAGCAGAAGAAAUCAUCAUGACUACUCUCUCUUCCCACAUCACACUCGAUGGCUUACUCUCCAAAUGAAGAGCUAUGAAUAUCUAACAGGACAAAUAAGCCACGGGCCUGGAGCUCAAGACUUUUUGGUGACUUAGGGAUACAAGCUUAAAUUGAUAGUAAGGAUGCCAGUCUAGGACAAACGUUCUCCUCCCUAGGUAGUCAUCAGUUUGGCUAUCUUCAUUGGAAAAUUGUCUUCGGUAG